rnacentral:hammerhead_ribozyme from 1 species
ACCAGCUGACGAGUCCCAAAUAGGACGAAAUGCACUUCCUCGAU